AAGGAAUCGUUUACAAUGGCCCCUAGAGAAAAUGUAUUGCAACCUAAUCAUUUCUGCGACAUAAUAACAAUAAGCCUAGGCAAUAUAUUUAUGACUAAGAUUCAAAAACUCAACAAAAAAUCCCCUAUCUGUAGUAGAUCUGUACUGAAUAUGACGCAGCAGAAUGUAGGGAAAUCCACAGCUACCAACUUGUCACUGGCUUGUCCAAUGUUACUAUGCAAAGGGAGAAAAAUGACACCACAAGAAAAUCCAAAAAAAAAAAAUCACAAGUACAAUAUCUGUUCACAAACGCAAGUAAAUUCUAGAAGAUAACUUUCACUGAACAUAUGUUCACAGUUCUGAAGUCCACAAGUUAUUAUAACUAAGAUAUACCAAAACGUAAGGUCGACAUGGUGGAAUAUAUCAUAACAGAUCAAGGCAUAGCAUUCUAUAUUACAAUAGGGAACUUGACAUUACCAAUAAUUUCAGCAGCACGCAUA
rnacentral:misc_RNA from 1 species